rnacentral:rRNA from 1 species
CGUACACUCCUGCGGGAGGCAGCAGUGGGGAAUUUUGGACAAUGGGCGAAAGCCUGAUCCAGCCAUGCCGCGUGCAGGAUGAAGGCCUUCGGGUUGUAAACUGCUUUUGUACGGAACGAAACGGCCUUUUCUAAUAAAGAGGGCUAAUGACGGUACCGUAAGAAUAAGCACCGGCUAACUACGUGCCAGCAGCCGCGGUAAUACGUAGGGUGCAAGCGUUAAUCGGAAUUAAUGGGCGUAAAGCGUGCGCAGGCGGUUAUGUAAGACAGUUGUGAAAUCCCCGGGCUCAACCUGGGAACUGCAUCUGUGACUGCAUAGCUAGAGUACGGUAGAGGGGGAUGGAAUUCCGCGUGUAGCAGUGAAAUGCGUAGAUAUGCGGAGGAACACCGAUGGCGAAGGCAAUCCCCUGGACCUGUACUGACGCUCAUGCACGAAAGCGUGGGGAGCAAACAGGAUUAGAAACCCGGGUAGUCCCAUGAU